AGAGUUUGAUCCUGGCUCAGAACGAACGCUGGCGGCGUGCCUAACACAUGCAAGUCGAACGGAGGUAGGGAGCUUGCUCCUUACUUUAGUGGCGCACGGGUGAGUAACGCGUAGAUAAUCUGCCCUGGUAUCUGGGAUAACAUUUCGAAAGGGGUGCUAAUACCGGAUAAGCCCACGACGGCUUUGGUCGUUGCGGGAAAAGGAGGCCUCUGAAUAUGCUUCUGUAUCAGGAUGAGUCUGCGUACCAUUAGCUAGUUGGUGAGGUAAUGGCUCACCAAGGCGACGAUCCGUAACUGGUCUGAGAGGAUGAUCAGUCACACUGGAACUGAGACACGGUCCAGACUCCUACGGGAGGCAGCAGUGGGGAAUAUUGGACAAUGGGCGAAAGCCUGAUCCAGCCAUGCCGCGUGUGUGAAGAAGGUCUUCGGAUUGUAAAGCACUUUAAGUUGGGAGGAAGGGUUGUAGGUUAAUACCCUGCAAUUUUGACGUUACCAACAGAAUAAGCACCGGCUAACUUCGUGCCAGCAGCCGCGGUAAUACGAAGGGUGCAAGCGUUAAUCGGAAUUACUGGGCGUAAAGCGCGCGUAGGUGGUUCAGCAAGUUGGAUGUGAAAGCCCCGGGCUCAACCUGGGAACUGCAUCCAAAACUACUGAGCUAGAGUACGGUAGAGGGUGGUGGAAUUUCCUGUGUAGCGGUGAAAUGCGUAGAUAUAGGAAGGAACACCAGUGGCGAAGGCGACCACCUGGACUGAUACUGACACUGAGGUGCGAAAGCGUGGGGGGCAAACAGGAUUAGAUACC
rnacentral:rRNA from 1 species